rnacentral:rRNA from 1 species
CCUACGGGUGGCAGCAGUGGGGGAUAUUGGACAAUGGGCGGAACCCUGAUCCAGCGACGCCGCGUGAGUGAAGAAGUAUUUCGGUAUGUAAAGCUCUAUCAGCAGGGAAGAAAGCAAUGACGGUACCUGACCAAGACGCGCCGGCUAACUACGUGCCAGCAGCCGCGGUACUACGUAGGGGGCAAGCGUUCGCCGGAAUUACGGGGUGUAAAGGGAGCGUAGACGGUUAAGUAAGUCUGGAGUGAAAGGCCGGGGCCCAACCCCGGGACUGCUCUGGAAACUAUGGAACUGGAGUGCAGGAGAGGUAAGUGGAAUUCCUAGUGUAGCGGUGAAAUGCGUAGAUAUUAGGAGGAACACCAGUGGCGAAGGCGGCUUACUGGACUGUAACUGACGUUGAGGCUCGAAAGCGUGGGGAGCAAACAGGAUUAGAUACCCUGGUAGUC